rnacentral:rRNA from 1 species
AUACGGAGGAUCCGAGCGUUAUCCGGAUUUAUUGGGUUUAAAGGGUGCGCAGGCGGCCAUUUAAGUCAGCGGUUAAAUCGUGGGGCUCAACCCCAUUCUGCCGUUGAUACUGGUUUCCUUGAGUACGGUACAGGUGGGCGGAAUUCGUGGUGUAGCGGUGAAAUGCUUAGAUAUCACGAAGAACUCCGAUCGCGAAGGCAGCUCACCGGGCCGGAACUGACGCUGAUGCUCGAAAGUGUGGGUAUCAAACAGGAUUAGAUACCCUGGUAGUCCACACAGUAAACGAUGAAUACUCGCUGUUUGCGAUAUACAGCAAGCGGCCAAGCGAAAGCAUUAAGUAUUCCACCUGGGGAGUACGCCGGCAACGGUGAAACUCAAAGGAAUUGACGGGG